rnacentral:rRNA from 1 species
AUUGAACGCUGGCGGAAUGCUUUACACAUGCAAGUCGAACGGUAGAGGGGGCAACCCCUUGAGAGUGGCGAACGGGUGAGUAAUAUAUCGGAACGUGCCCAGUCGUGGGGGAUAACGUAGCGAAAGUUACGCUAAUACCGCAUACGAUCUACGGAUGAAAGCGGGGGACUCGCAAGAGCCUCGCGCGAUUGGAGCGGCCGAUAUCAGAUUAGGUAGUUGGUGGGGUAAAGGCUCACCAAGCCAACGAUCUGUAGCUGGUCUGAGAGGACGACCAGCCACACUGGAACCUGAGACACGGUCCAGACUCCUACGGGAGGCAGCAGUGGGGAAUUUUGGACAAUGGACGCAAGUCUGAUCCAGCCAUUCCGCGUGCAGGAUGAAGGCCCUCGGGUUGUAAACUGCUUUGUACGGAACGAAAGGUUUCUCUUAAUACGAGGAGCUCAUGACGGUACCGUAAGAAUAAGC